UACGGAGGGUGCAAGCGUUAUCCGGAUUCACUGGGCUUAAAGGGUGCGUAGGUGGGCAAGUAAGUCAGUGGUGAAAUCUCCGGGCUUAACCCGGAAACUGCCAUUGAUACUAGUUGUCUUGAAUACUGUGGAGGUCAGCGGAAUAUGUCAUGUAGCGGUGAAAUGCUUAGAUAUGACAUAGAACACCAAUUGCGAAGGCAGCUGGCUGCACAAAUAUUGACACUGAGGCACGAAAGCGUGGGGAGCAAACAGG
rnacentral:rRNA from 1 species